rnacentral:rRNA from 1 species
GAUGAACGCUGGCGGCGUGCCUAAUACAUGCAAGUCGAGCGAAUGGAUUAAGAGCUUGCUCUUAUGAAGUUAGCGGCGGACGGGUGAGUAACACGUGGGUAACCUGCCCAUAAGACUAGGAUACCUCCGGGAAACCGGGGCUAAUACCGGAUAACAUUUUGAACCGCAUGGUUCGAAAUUGAAAGGCGGCUUCGGCUGUCACUUAUGGAUGGACCCGCGUCGCAUCAGCUAGUUGGUGAGGUAACGGCUCACCAAGGCAACGAUGCGUAGCCGACCUGAGAGGGUGAUCGGCCACACUGGGACUGAGACACGGCCCAGACUCCUACGGGAGGCAGCAGUAGGGAAUCUCCCGCAAUGGACGAAAGUCUGACGGAGCAACGCCGCGUGAGUGAUGAAGGCUUUCGGGUCGUAAAACUCUGUUGUUAGGGAAGAACAAGUGCUAGUUGAAUAAGCUGGCACCUUGACGGUACCUAACCAGAAAGCCACGGCUAACUACGUGCCAGCAGCCGCCGUAA